AUUGUAUCAGCUAGUUGGUGAGGUAAUGGCUCACCAAGGCUAUGACGCAUAACUGGUCUGAGAGGAUGAUCAGUCACACUGGAACUGAGACACGGUCCAGACUCCGUACGGGAGGCAGCAGUAGGGAAUAUUGCUCAAUGGGGGAAACCCUGAAGCAGCAACGCCGCGUGGAGGAUGACACUUUUCGGAGCGUAAACUCCUUUAGUUAGGGAAGAACAAUGUACGGUACCUAACGAAUAAGCACCGGCUAACUCCGUGCCAGCAGCCGCGGUAAUACGGAGGGUGCAAGCGUUAUCCGGAAUUAUUGGGCGUAAAGAGCUCGUAGGCGGUUUGUCCGGUCGUCGUCGUCGGUACGGUAACGGUACCGGGUACCGGUUAACCCCGGUACGUCGUCGGUCGGGUCGGGGUACGGGUACGACGUACGUACGGUAGUGGUACGUAGGGUAGGGGUAAGGUAGGUAGGUUUACGUACGUCCGUCGGUCGUACGUAACGGUACGUACGGUAACGGUACGGUCGGGUCCGGGUACGGUACGUACCGUUAAACCGUAACGUAACGUACGUAACGUAAACGGUACGGGUACGGGGUAACGGGAACGGAACGGACCGAACCGAACGGAACGGGGUAAGGUAGGUG
rnacentral:rRNA from 1 species